ensembl:lncRNA
UGAGAAGCCCAGGUGUUUGGUUUGUUUUGCUUUCUGCAGUACUGGGGCUUGAACCCAGGCCCUUCGCACUCAGCUAUGUCCCCUGCUCUGUUUUAUCUUCUAUUUGAGACAGGAGUCUCGCUAAGUCACUAAGUUGCCCAGGCUGGGCUGGAACCUGUGAUCCUCCUGCGUCAGCCUCCCAGAGUGCUGGGAUUACAGGUGUGCACCUCCUCACCAGGCUCCCAGAGGCCACAGGGUGCAUCCCUUGCCUUCCUCCUCUUCAUCCCUCCCUCCCUCCUGCGGCCUGGAACACAGGGACGGUGCGGCCUUGGACCUGGAAGUGAAGGGCACACACACAGCAUGGACCCUGUCUGCUCCCCGCCGCCAUGUGCUGUAACCAUGGCCUCGCUGGUGUGAAGCAAUGCUUGCUGGCCGACUCCAUGACUGAAUGCAUGAGAUCUAUGUAGUCCAGGCUGGCCCCAAACUCGAGGGGCCUCAGCCUCCCGAGUGCUGGGAUGACAGGUGUGCGCCACCACGGCAGCUGAACAACUCCGGACAGAAUUCCAAGGGGCACAAAGCAGCCACUUCUAGCCCGGAACCCCUGGUGUACGCACAGGGCUUUGCACGUCCGGAUAGACAAACUCCAGGAGUGACUCCAGGAGCGAUGUCAUGCACUCCUCUGCCGUCUGGUGGUGCUCUCGGGAGCCGCCGGAAGCACAGGGCCUGCCAGUAUCGUGCAGGACAUGCAACACCCCUGGGACCAUCUGGAACGCCCCACAUUUCCAACCCCUCGAGGUGGCGUCCCGCCCGCGGGGGAGUUGCCCAAAGCCCACCUUUCUGCUGACCACCCAGGCGACCCUGCCCUUCCUCAGUCCCAGCAGACACCAGCCACCGCCUGGAGUGUCCCCGGACCACUGCAACAGCCGUUCUUCCAACGGGUCACCAGGGGGCGUCCUGAGACCAGGUUCUGCACAGCCGCGGGCUUGAAAUUAACUGCGAAUGAGGAGAGGACCCCGCAGUGGGCAGAACCAUGCUCUGGGGAAGCCAUCAGCCAGUGUUUGUCCAGCUUCUUCCCCACCCAGUGUUGCUUAAUGCAGGGGUCAGAGCGUCAUCAGGCCAGGUGACCUUUGGUACAGGCCAGUCACUCCAUGUGGCCUCGUGGUGCCAGUGAGGGUUGUAAACAACAGGUGUGGGAGGCCGCUGUGGGCUAACAGCACACUGCUUUACAGCGAGCUUUCUGAAAACAACAGCAUACUCAGCCAGGUAUGAGGAUCCUGGAAGGCUGAGGCAGGAGGAUCACAAGUUCAACCCCAACUUAAUUUAGCAAAACCCUGUCCUGAAAUAAAAUUAGAUAACAGUUUGAGGAAUUUAUUCUGUACCUCCAUCCUGGGUACUUUCCAUGAAAGUUUUUUUUUUCUUGUUUUGUUUUGUUUUGUUUUGUUUUGUUGAGAUAAGGUCUUGCUAUGUAGCCCAGACUGGCCUCAGACUUAGAGAGAUCCUCCUGCCUCAGCCUCCCACGUGCUGGGAUUGCAGGUAUGCACCACCACACCCAGCCACGAACUCACUACUUUCAUCUUCACCAGUAACAGUAUGAGGCAGGCACCAUUAGGUGAUGAGCCAUUUGGCCGGGAAACUGAGGCACAGAAAGCUCUGUAACCUGCCUGGAGGUGCAGGGCUGACAAGCAGCAGAGAACUGCUGAACGGUGUCCUGGAAGGGAGUCCUGCUGGCAGGCAGGAUUUAGCCACCCUGUACUGCAAGAAAACAAGCAGCAAAAAUGCCAGCCCUCCAGAGACCCCUAAGGGAUGAUGCUGAAAACAUCCACAAGAAAGGAGCAGAGCCUGCCAGACGCAUUUCUCUGCAGGACCUGAGCCCGGGUGCGUUCUUGGGGUCAAAGAGCAUGCAGCGGUUGGGGGGACAGAGCUGAUAUGUGAGCCCUGUGUCCCCGGGUCCAGCUGCAAAUGACCACGGGAGACCUCCACAGG